rnacentral:rRNA from 1 species
GACUCUUAGUGGUGGAUCACUGGGCUUGUGCAUCGAUGAAGAACGCAGCUAGAUGCGAGAAUUAAUGUGAACUGCAGGACACAUUGAUCAUGGACACUUUGAAAGCACUUGUGGCCCUGGGUUCCUCCUGGGGCUAAACCUGUCUGAGAGUCG